UCGUGGAGUGAUUUGUCUUGUUAAUUCAGUUAACGAACGAGACCUUAACCUACUAACUAGGCUGCAAGCCGUAGAUUUUCGGAUUUACGGUUCGUUUAAUGGAGUAUCUCGUAUGAGGUAUUCUUCGAAACUUGCAUUCUGGGAUUAUUGGCACUCUGUGUUAGUAAUCCUUGCUUCUUAGAGGGACAAUACUUCGUUUAUAUUAGAGUAAGGAAGUUUAAGGCAAUAACA
rnacentral:rRNA from 1 species